rnacentral:rRNA from 1 species
GAGUAACACCGUUAGGAACCGUAGCCCCAAAGUAAGGAUAAGACCACCGAAAGGUGGUCUAAUACCUUAUAGUAUCCAUCUCGUAUGGAUUAAAGCUUUAUGCGCUUUGGGAGGGGCCUGCGUUUGAUUAGCUAGUUGGUGAGGUAAAAGCUCACCAAGGCGACGAUCAAUAGCUGGUUUGAGAGGAUGACCAGCCACACUGGGACUGAGAUACGGCCCAGACUCCUACGGGAGGCAGCAGUAAGGAAUCUUCCACAAUGGGGCAACCCUGAUGGAGCAAUACCGCGUGCAGGAUGAAGCGUUUCGGCGUGUAAACUGCUUUUAUCACCGAAGAUUAUGACUGUAGGUGAAGAAUAAGGACCGGCUAACUACGUG